AGUUUACGUUUCGGUUUUAUUACGAGAGGCGUGGUUUUGUGAAACACCGUUUGACGCUCACCGUACGAAGUUCGGUAGAGGAAUGGCCGCGGUUUCACUGUCCCUCGUCCUCGGGACUCUCCUCCAGACCAGACGAGGGUAUACGCCGGAAGGGUAAAGGGAAGGGACGGGCGGACGGCCCGGGAAAUACGCGGAGUGAGCAACGGAAUCGGAGACACUCGGGAGGAGAGCCGAACGCGACGCGUAUAUCCUCGAGUCGGUGAAACUCGUCGGGGAUCGAGCGAGGUCGGCUCUCCUCGCGUACCGCCGGGUGUUCUCGACCGGAUUCGUUACCCCGCCAUGAUACGAAACGAGUACGAACGAUGUACCCAACGGACUCAAGCACGCGUAGGAGGAUAUGGACUGUGUAAUGAACACAUCCAUGUGCACAGCGUAGUUUUUCCAUACGUGUAUUCGUUUAUCGACAUGGUGUACGGCGACGGGUGAUAUGGUCGCAUUAUAGAUAGUUGGUACGGUGAGGUACGGCAUGUGUAUGUAUAUCGCAUUCGAAGCGUCGAGGGAAUCGGCUAGGGCGGUGAAGUUGGAUAAAAUGUGCCGUUGGUACGACGCGUGUGCAGUAAAACUGUAAAAAACAAUUUCAGCUAAGGUGGGACACAAAAUACCAUUCGAUAUUCAAAACAGUUCUCAUUCCUGGCGGUUUAGAUAUACGGUUUCGCUAAAAUUCUACACACUCCUGUAUACUAGGAAAUGUUAUUGAUUCUCUUUCAUUUUUGCUUCUCCUUUUUCUCGCACCGUUUCUUACUCGAGUGGGUGUGGAUUUACGAAUACGAGGAAGUACCAGCUGACUCCGUAUCACCGACGCGAAUCUUCUUCGAAUUACGAAGGUACCUCGCGAGCCGGUAUAUUUUCCUUGCGUCGCACUCGAGUUCGGGGAUUCCCCCGCCGUAUGAAAAAAAAAAAAAAAAAAAACAACUGGUAUAGGUAGGGACAGGGUGUGGAACGGGUGUUAUAGACCCACGUCCGGACACGGGGGGGUGGCGGUAAAGGUUAUAGGUAACUGCGUUUUCGCAUUGCGUUGCAGACUGGCCCGCGAGACGGAGUGGGCGGUUAUACAUGUAACCAUAGAACGCUCACGUUCCAUCCACGCUCUGAGGAAAAUUACUCAAAAUCUUCGAUACUUGUACGCACAUUAGUUUCCUACGCGUUACCGAAAUACGGCCAAGGAGACGGCUACGGGCGACGCGUGUUUCUGAUUUCGUCCCUUUCCCUGUGGGCCAAAGGAGGGAGGAAAAAAACUGAGGACAUGUGGAAGGAUUCUGUUGUAGCCGCGUACGCGUCGCAUAUGCGUACGUCCGACGCACUUACCCACACGAUAAUGUACGGAAAAAGAAGAAAGAGAAAAAAAAAUAAAAAGAGAAAGAAAACAAACGAGGAGGAGAAGAAAAAAAACAACGCACCUAGGGGGAGAAAAGUCCUGCAUACGCGUUCGACGGUGAAGAGGGAGCGAAACCUUCGCCGCGAUCCGCGAAGACCGAAGAUCUUCGGAUCCGAGUUGAUUACGCGCUGAGUGACGCCGAGGUCGGUGGGGAUCGCUACCUUGGACCAAAGACGAUCGUCUUGGCACUAUACGUGAGGCUGCGGGCAGAUUCUUAGCUCCGUAAAGAAACGACACCUUAGAGACACCCGAUAACACAGUCAAGGCUGUCUGGUUUAUGGACGCGUUUAUAUUUCAAUGAGUAUAUCUGUACACGUACGCUGGUAUCUCUCUUCGUAUAGGUAGGACAAAUAUAUACGCGGAGUACGUUAUAUAGUUACGAAGAUUAUCGUGCCGCCACUUCGCAUCGAGAAUUUGAGACACAUAGAAUGCGACUCUGGGUACGUAAGACGCAUAGAUUUCAAUAAUAUUUGUACAUACUUCGCUCGCGAUCAAAAGUUUUCGAAAACAAUUGAUUACCGUUACAAGUAUAUUCGGCGGCGCGUAAUCGUUGCCGUCCGUGUCUCGUAGAAGAAGAAGAAAAGAUGGAAAAAAAUAGAAUUUUGAAACAUUUUCAAACGCUAAUAUCGACGGUUAUUUUUCACGAUCAAAUAAUUAUACGCCCAAGCCCGAGGAUAUGUGUAUUAAUUAUAUAUACCCGUUACUGAAAUAUAUACAUAGAGAAUUUAUUUUCAAUUAAUUCUUUCCGAACAACUUACAGUCUAUUAAGGACACAACCUGCGUUAACGAGGUUACACCGACGACGGACAAACGACAUAAUUUUAGAACGGUUCGAGCUUUUCAAAAAUCUGUAGAGAUGAACAAAUUUAUAAAUAAUAUAUAUUUCCGUUUAGUCGCAAGCAAAACACGUCGCUGAAAAUCUUGACGUAGGAAGAAAUAUUAAACAUUGUACGCGGCUGUGCUACGAUAACGAAGUAGAAACGGCGCCGCGUUCCGAUGCGAGUAGCGAGUAACAUUUAUUGUAGAAAAUAGUAUCGCUUUUGAACGCGACCUAAUCGGUAGCCAAGGUCGAGCUACACGGUUAUUAGUGCGUGUUGCGACACUAUACAUGGCGCUCGCACGGGACGAGCGGGGUACGACGUGUUGCCCCGACAUAAGGAGUCGCUCUUUUACCGAUGCCCGUUGAUGACACGACGGUGAUGCUGCCGCUCCGGUACGCGUCGCGUGACGACGCACACCCGUUACAUAAGAUAACGCGUAAAUUAAGCGCACAACGGGGUCGAACGUACGAGAUACACGUAUGUAUAGGUGCACCGAGGAGUGCCCUCCGAUCUGGCGAUUACUAAAAUCGAAGAAUAUUCGCGGUUAAUUUGUCCGCGUCGGUGGGGCAGAGUCACAGACCGUAGAGCGAGUACCGUGCGGUAGUUCGAGUCCCGUUUUCUUCGAGGCAAAAAAAAAAAAAAAACGAAGAAAAACCGAGAGAAAAUAAAUACUGAUGUAGAAUAACAGAGCAAUACUCGCCGUCUCAUUGUACGGUUCGAAAGAAUAUCCGGGCAAAGGUACACGCGGUGGUACACGGGUGUACGGGUCGCGGAUUCCUGUACCCUGCGUCAUCCCGUGCAAUUGAAAAGUGAAAA